AGAAAGGUCUCCAGGAACAAGAUGGCUUCAUCAACCACGCGUUGCGCGUCCAGUUUCGAUGCUGCGAUCUGAAUAACACAACUCCCGUCACGAUACCCUGGUCAUGCUGUGACGUCACUCAUUCAGGCAACUGUACCACAGAUAACAUCUACAAGAAUGAUUGCAGAACAGAGUUUAUCUUAUGGUUAAAUAAAUACCAAACCAUUAUAUACUCGACUUUAGCGGUUCUUCACAUCCUAUUGUCGUCCUGCUCACUCUUACGUCGGCCGAGAUCGUCUCGCUCGGACGCAUAGCGAUCGCAGCGCCGAU